UGGGGAAUUUUGGACAAUGGGCGAAAGCCUGAUCCAGCAAUGCCGCGUGUGUGAAGAAGGCCUUCGGGUUGUAAAGCACUUUUGUCCGGAAAGAAAUCCUUGGCUCUAAUACAGUCGGGGGAUGACGGUACCGGAAGAAUAAGCACCGGCUAACUACGUGCCAGCAGCCGCGGUAAUACGUAGGGUGCAAGCGUUAAUCGGAAUUACUGGGCGUAAAGCGUGCGCAGGCGGUUUGCUAAGACCGAUGUGAAAUCCCCGGGCUCAACCUGGGAACUGCAUUGGUGACUGGCAGGCUAGAGUAUGGCAGAGGGGGGUAGAAUUCCACGUGUAGCAGUGAAAUGCGUAGAGAUGUGGAGGAAUACCGAUGGCGAAGGCAGCCCCCCUGGGCCAAUACUGACGCUCAUGCACGAAAGCGUGGGGAGCAAACAGGAUUAGAUACCCUGGUAGUCCACGCCCUAAACGAUGUCAACUAGUUGUUGGGGAUUCAUUCCUUAGUAACGUAGCUAACGCGUGAAGUUGACCGCCUGGGGAGUACGGUCGCAAGAUUAAAACUUCAAAUGGAAUUGACGGGGUCAUAGCUGUUUCCU
rnacentral:rRNA from 1 species